rnacentral:rRNA from 1 species
UACGUAGGUGGCGAGCGUUGUCCGGAUUUAUUGGGCGUAAAGCGCCCGCAGGCGGCCUGGCAAGUUUCAGGUGAAAUCUCCCGGCUUAACUGGGAGGGGUCCUGGAAAACUGUCAGGCUUGAGGCAGGGAGAGGGAUGUGGAAUUCCCGGUGUAGUGGUGAAAUGCGUAGAUAUCUGGAGGAACACCGGUGGCGAAGGCGGCAUCCUGGACCAAUACUGACGCUGAGGAGCGAAAGCCAGGGGAGCAAACGGG